UUUGCGGUUUCAGUUAAUAAACGAGCGGGGAUACCAUGCAUCACAGUGUUGAUCUUUGUUAUUAUCCAAGCUUACACUAUCAGGCUAUACUACACCCUUUGAAAGGAUCCUUUUGACUUAGAAUUAAACGGACUACUUUGAAAAGACCAAUGAAAAGAUCUUUUUGGCUUAAAAAUGUUGCGCCCAUAGGUGACACCCAUCCCACAUUCAUCGCAGUUAUGAUGCCACCCUCCCUAACCUCAGGGACUCCACUAAUAGUCGAUGGACGGCUUUGACUAGCUGCAUGGGAGGACAAUGCACCGAGCCCAAACUCAUAACGCGCGCUAGCACGCGUAUUGAUGCCACCUUUUACUAUCACUAGCCACACCACAUUACAAACAUUUCCUAUAUUUGUAUUUAUGUACGCAAGUGUAGGCGAAUACAAGGAUUAUGGGACGCAAUCAAGACCCUAACUUGUUUGUGCGCAUGACUAAAUUAUGUUGCAUUGAAUGACUGGAGACGCUUAUUUAGUAAUUUGAAACCAUUUCCAAAAUCUCGAGCGGGAUUUGAACUCGCAUCUUCGGUCUAGAUACCCGAAGUUUGACGGGGAAGUAUUCUGUGAUACGGGCAUAUUUUUCUUAAAAGUUAGAGCGCGCAACGAAUACUUGUACUCGCACAUCGCAAGAAUGACAGUAUAGACAUUGUAACACAAUAUUUAUGGGCCACCACACACAGCAUAAAUAUAUCAUGUAACAUCUACAUUUGGUAACUUGUGUUUUAGUUGACUAUUAGCGCAAACGAUAAGAUUGGAAAAUCAUGAUUUUUGACAAAACAAACGCGCUAUAUUAACGCAGACACGAUCAGUAUCAGCCCAAUUUAAAUUUCAUUGUAAUUUAAUACGAUGUUUAUUAUAAACAAGUACCACGCGAACUUCAAACUUCAAGAAUAAAUACUUUCGAAAAAUCAAAACUUUAAUGGUAUACUUGUACGACACGGAUUUUUAAAGUGGCAUAUUUCAUAGUAUAAAUAUUGCGGUUUGCAGAGUGUGUGAAGGCAUGAAAGUCUGUCGAUGCCGCCGUUUAAGAUCUGUUAAUUCGCACAAGUCGACCGCUUCCGGCCACGAGCCACGAGCGAGGAAACUUUAACAAGAUUAAUGGGGCUCAGUACCACUUAGGUACAGAUAUUUGUCAAUUCGUCAGUCCUGAUUUUGCUGCGUAAUGAGUGCGUAUAAUUUAUUAGAGAAAAUGUUGUGUUAAUAAUCUCAACUCGAGGCGACCCCUAUACUAUAGAGAUGUGUGAGGAAGGACGCUGUAGAUUUUAUGCGUUCCACACAAAUUUCUGUUUAUUGUAUAGUAUCAAGACUAUCAAAUAUCAACAUUACUAGGAUUUAUCUGUUGAGGAAAAAUGCGUAAAUUUGAAUAAGUGAUUUGGUUGGGUUACGUUUGCACCAUGCCGGAUAGGUUUCCGUAGCGGCGCGAAAAAGCACAAUUGGGUCUGUUUCUGAGGGGUAAGAAAAUUAUACAAAAUUUCCGAAGGGGGAAGAAAAAUUUCCAAAUUUCCGAAGGGGUAGUUCCGUGAUGGAACCUCGUCAACAAGUAUUUCCGAAGGGCUUGAGAAAAAUCGUAAAUUUCCAUAGGGGGUUCCGCAAAAAAUAGCAAAUUUCCGAGGGGGUCUUCCCAAAAACCGUUUCCGAACGGGUCUAAAAUCAGUAACCUCGUCAACAGGGGGGGGGGUGGAUGUUAAAUGGAAUGGCCCGGUCGCAAAGCUUGUCAUCGCCAUAUAAUAUUACUUAAAUAAUUAAUGCAAUGCGGUUUUGAGCGCGCCAUUCAUAAAUGCGCGCUAUUCCAGCAGCAAGACAAUAACUGGCAGUGAAUGAAUAUAUGUUCGCUUUUAUAUGUUCGCUUGUUUCAUGGGAUAUUCUUUUAUAUGUUCGCAUGCUAUGGGGAAUCAGAGGUUAAUUCAAGGAAAAUAUGUUGCCAAGUGAUUACAGAACAAAAGGUUCCAUGCAUCAACUCUUCAGUCAAAGGUAAUAUUGACGCCAUUAUAGCAGCUGAACGUUUUGAUUAUCUCAUCUAUUUUUCUUGCGAUCUGUCGAAUAGUUGUGUUCGAAAUGUAGAAGCGGCAUAAAUGGGAAGAAUUUUCCCACUUACUAGCUAUAUUAACUAUAUAUCCAUAUCAUGAAGGCAUGCAUCAUUCAUGCGUGCAUGAAUAUGCUGAAGCAUAAAAUAUUGUAUUACACACUAACUAUAUGGGUAUACUUAUUCUUGCGCUCUAUAAUUGUUAACGUAAACCAUAAAUAUUAUACGUAUUCAAGUGUAUACGGUACUUUCGAGCUUGCAUGUCACACGGUGUAUCGCCAGCAUGUGCCUGAAGCGGUUGAGUAUAAUUCACGCUGUGCGAAUUCAAAGCCCGUCAAAUGUAAAUUAUUUGUUAAUUAUUAUUUGUAUUUGAGAUACUUGUAUUUAAUUUCAAGUGCGUAUUAGAAUUCGCGCAGACCUUAGGUUGGCGCAAAAAUAAAAUUGAGCGGGAAUUAGUCUGCGCGAAAAGUUGCUGUCAAGCAAACAUCCUGAUGCGCGAGCAUUUUAUCCGUACGGAAUGCUAGAAACGUUUCCAUUUUACUAAAUGCAUUUAUGAUGUGACAUAUACGCCCCCUGGCUUCAUAGGCAACAGAAAAAGCGUGUAAAACCUGUAGUAAAACUAUUUUUGAUUUAUGGUGCCUACAUUUGAUAGCUGAAAGCCUAAACUUCGCGACGACCCAAAAACCACGCUAAGGCAUCUAGUAUUUAUUGCACAAUAGCGUGCUAAAGUUCAAUUACCUUUAUUUUGAUACACACUACCAUUGUAUACACAAUAUGUAGAUAAAAGUUGCAUGCAUCUGUCUAUAAACUGAUUCUGUUAAUCGCCCGAAUAGCAGCUGAUAUUGAAUUGUUUAAGUUGCAUUAUGUAUCAGUUUAUAUAAACCUUGCGGUCUGAACUCAUAUUUCAGCUUUAGCAUGUAGCCUAUAAGUGCAAUAAUACCAAAUGUAACGCAAAUAAGUCAAUAUUCAGGUCAUCUUUAACGAGAGUUCUGCCUCUGAACUUGACGUAAUCGGCAUCGCGUUUGGUUGUUUGAUGUGCGCAUUUAUUUUAUAGUUCCCUCUGAUGUCUUCAUGUUACUUGAAAGCCAUUUAUGACAGGUAUAAUCCUAAAGGAGGUAUGUCGUGUCACUCGUGUGUUUCCGUGGUAAGUUUAAUACCAGUCGAUCAAUCAUGGAAAUUCUGUGCAAUAGGAUCGAAAUAAAACCAUUUGAAUUUAUGUCUUGCUUGGGUUCAUAUCUUGGGUUUUCAAGAUGUUCUCAUUUUCCCGUUUUUGUUUUAUAUAUUUUAUCUAAAAUUAACUUCUAAACACACAUGCUAUAUGUCGAUUGUUCUUGCCAAUAAGCUAAGCGCGCUUAUUUUGCAUGCCAUUGGGUCACCCGGAGCUUAGAGCGCCAAAAACAGUCGCGCUUUGCUUAAAGUGCGGUUUGAAUGUGUUGACAUUCGCGCGCAACACGCUGUAAUAUAGCCAGGCACUUCAUAUUUUAUGCCAUUUAUCAAUACAUGGUGUUUAAUCCUGGGCUUUAUGAUAAACACCAGAAUGUAAUAUGCACGCAGCAAUUACCUCAUUUUGCCAGUCUAAAUUGAUGCGCGAUUGUGUAAUUAGUUGUCUGUAGAGGAGACUAGAUGUGCACUGUAGUCCACUGUCAAGUCACAUUUAUUCAGUCUCAGGCAUGUAUAACGUUAAAUUAAAUUGCUUAUAUAUUAUAGAGAAGUUAUACUAUGUCUCUAUAUAAUAUCAUAAAGAAAUUUUUAAUAUACAGUACUAUGUUAGUAUGUUUCUAUCUAUUAGAGAACUCAUGCAAUAAUGUCAGCGUGCCUGUAAAUUUUGGACUUAAUUCCCAGUAACUAAAUAAAUGUUGUUCAUCAAUGAUGGAUAAUAAAUAGUCGAGACUGUAAUAGUGAGAAUUGUUUGGUAAAAUAUUUCCCUUCCAGCUCCAAGUUAACACGUCGUUUCCGUUGACAAGGAGAAGUAUUCGAAUGCCUUCUUAAUACGUAUACCUUAAUGGCUUUUUCUAGCUUCAUCUUUUUCUACAUGCAAUAUGCAUCCUCUUUUAUAAUCUGCUCAAUUUUUAGGCGUUUUAUAGUUCACAGCAUCCGCGACAUAUUGGUUCUGAAAAUAUGUGCCCAUAGCUUCCUAUAAAGUCUAUAAAGCGCGAGGACAUCUCUUUGUUGUUGAUCACUUUUAGUUUUCGACCUCUUGACGCGACCUUAGAGCAUCAAUGGCAUUUAAGCUACGGAUACACGGGCAUCAUUUUUCUGGCGUAAUCGUUGCGAGAGGUAAAUUGCUUGUGUAUCCUACCCUGCAAUGGCAACGCGAAGCUUCUCGCAAUCGUUGCCGAAAUUCCAUGCCAAACCAUUGGAUUUUGGGCAACGAUUGCAGAACUUUGGAAGGUGUCACGCAAUAGAAAGCGUAAUAUUGAAACGUGCGCCUACGCUUUAUUGUCCAUUUUUGUCUCUCAUUCCCAAAAGUAUUGCAGGUGUAUUGCAAUGCAAUACUUUUUCAACCAUUGCGUACCAUCACAGCAAAAAUAUUCCCCCUGUAUCCCAAGCUUAUAUAAGUAACAGAUGGUUUUCCUGAUAUGGAUAUGUCAUCACCUUUAAUGAGGAGGUAUGCCUGGUAUUUCCCUACCAAUUUUAAUUAAUGGUGCAUUUAAGCAUUAUGGGCUUGAUUGUGUUGGCAAUAAGCUAAACGCGCUUAUUUAACAGGCGAAACCCGCUACAUGCGCUUAUUUUGAGUGGCAAAGGGUCACGCUGCGCUUGAAAGACCGAAACUGCAGCGGAAACAAUCGCGCGUUGCUUAAAGUACCAUUUUUAAUCACACUUAGCUUAUAAUUCCUGCAGUCCGAAAUAAAUUGACAGUCCGGAAAAUUUCCGACUCGCG